AAUGAACGUUGGCGGCGUGGAUUAGGCAUGCAAGUCGAGCGAGAACCCGCAAGGGGGACAGCGGCAAACGGGGUAGUAACGGGUAGGCAACGUACCCUCGGGUCGGGGAUAGCCACGGGAAACUGUGGGUAAUACCCGAUAAUCUCUGCGGUGGUAAGUAUCGCAGAGCAAAGGUGUGAUUCCACCGGAGGAGCGGCCUGCUUCGUAUUAGCUUGUUGGUGAGGUAACGGCUCACCAAGGCGACGAUGCGUAGGGGGUGUGAGAGCAUGACCCCCACCACUGGGACUGAGAUACUGCCCAGACACCUACGGGUGGCUGCAGUCGAGAAUCUUCGGCAAUGGGCGCAAGCCUGACCGAGCGACGCCGCGUGUGGGAUGAAGGCCCUUGGGUUGUAAACCACUGUCAGAGGGGAUGAAAUGCGGGAGAGCUAUCUCUUCCGUUUGACAUAGCCUCAGAGGAAGCACGGGCUAAGUUCGUGCCAGCAGCCGCGGUAAU
rnacentral:rRNA from 1 species